AAAGACCUCAUGCGCCAGUCUGCAACAUUGUUUUAGCCUGUGGGGUUCUGCACCACAUCGCGCAGGAAAACAGGGUGCCAUAAAUGUAGUGAUGGAGCCAGCUGACCCGAUGCCCAGAGAGCAGUGGC